GUGAGGAAUAUUGCGCAAUGGAGGCAACUCUGACGCAGCCAUGCCGCGUGCAGGAAGAAGGCGCUACGCGUUGUAAACUGCUUUUAACCGGGAAGAAACCCCAGGACGUGUCCUGGGUUGACGGUACCGGAGGAAUAAGCACCGGCUAACUUCGUGCCAGCAGCCGCGGUAAUACGAAGGGUGCAAGCGUUAUCCGGAUUCAUUGGGUUUAAAGGGUGCGUAGGCGGAGCGUUAAGUCAGUGGUGAAAUCCUGCAGCUUAACUGUAGACUUGCCAUUGAUACUGGAGCGCUUGAGUGCGCUUGAAGGGGGCGGAAUGUGACGUGUAGCGGUGAAAUGCUUAGAUAUGGCACAGAACACCAAUUGCGAAGGCAGCUCACUAAGGCGAUACUGACGCUGAGGCACGAAAGCGUGGGGAUCGAACAGGAUUAGAAACCCCGGUAGUCC
rnacentral:rRNA from 1 species